rnacentral:tRNA from 1 species
GCAUUGGUGGUUCGGUGGUAGAAUUCUCGCCUGUAACAAGGGAGGCCUGGUUAGAUUCCCAGCCAAUGCG